rnacentral:rRNA from 1 species
AGCGAACGCUGGCGGCAUGCCUAACACAUGCAAGUCGAGCGCUCCCAGCAAUGGGGGAGCGGCGGACGGGUGAGUAACGCGUAGGAACGUAUCCUGAGGUGGGGGAUAACCCUGGGAAACUAGGGCUAAUACCGCAUGAUGGCGAGAGCCCAAAGAUUUAUCGCCUUGGGAGCGGCCUGCGUCUGAUUAGCUUGUUGGUGGGGUAACGGCCUACCAAGGCGAUGAUCCAGUAGCUGGUCUGAGAGGAUGAUCAGCCACACUGGGACUGAGACACGGCCCAGACUCCUACGGGAGGCAGCAGUGGGGAAUAUUGGACAAUGGGCGAAAGCCUGAUCCAGCAAUGCCGCGUGGAUGAAGAAGGUCUUCGGAUUGUAAAGUCCUUUCGGCGGGGACGGAUGAUGACGGUACCCG